GUGGGGAAUAUUGCGCAAUGGGGGAAACCCUGACGCAGCGACGCCGUGUGAGGGAAGAAGGCUUUCGGGCCGUAAACCUCUGUCAGAAAGGAAGAACCUCCCAAGUCCGAAUAGGGCUUGGGACUGACGGUACUUUCAAAGGAAGCACCGGCUAACUCCGUGCCAGCAGCCGCGGUAAUACGGAGGGUGCAAGCGUUAAUCGGAAUCACUGGGCGUAAAGCGCGCGUAGGCCGCUUUGUAAGUCGGACGUGAAAGCCCUCGGCUCAACCGGGGAACUGCGUUCGAUACUGCGAGGCUUGAGUCCUGGAGAGGGUGGCGGAAUUCCGGGUGUAGGAGUGAAAUCCGUAGAUAUCCGGAGGAACACCGGUGGCGAAGGCGGCCACCUGGACAGGUACUGACGCUGAGGCGCGAAAGCGUGGGGAGCAAACAGGAUUAGAAACCCGGGUAGUCC
rnacentral:rRNA from 1 species